rnacentral:tRNA from 1 species
UGGAGAGGUGGCAGAGUGGUCGAAUGCGCUCGACUUGAAAUCGAGUGUCCCAAAAGGACCGUGGGUUCGAAUCCCACCCUCUCCGU